GGCGGCUUAAACCACAUGACACUGGUCUUUAAAGAAAUCUGGGAGAGCUUUUGCUUCAUUUGAAACAGGAAACGGAGAGCCCCGAAGGGGAGUCAGAACAGUUGUCGGGGGUUUUACCCAAGGCUGAUUUGGAUCCGUUGGCUUGUGUUAAAGCUGCCUUUACGAUACGCGUUCUGACCUUCAUAUAUUUUCAACGAUUGGAGAGAAGAAAGAGGACGUGUGUCUAGCCGUGACAUCUCUGUGAGAGUGGCCAUGUGUCAGCUCCCUGCUCGGAGAGAAAAGCCUGUGAAUGCCAGAAUAAGUGUAUGUGACAAGCACUGAUUCAGAGCAAGAAUACGAUGGUGACAGCGGAGGUCCUGAAGAGAAGAAAGGACCCUUAUUCUUCAGUGUCUUAGAAUCUAGCUGGAAAAAGAGGCAUUUCUACAACCGGCAAGUAAUCAAAGAACACAAGGUUCCAGAUGGUGUACAUUCGACGUGAUGUGAUACAUUCGGUGACACAGUCCUUUUUCCUGGUCUUACCUUACACUCCUACUCCCAUAUGAGGAGUAUGAUUUGGACCCAUAAUGGACCGUUGCUGGUACCAUAUUCUGGGGACUCUCUUGGGUCGUAGACCCUCGAAAGCAACCUUUGUGAUGUGUGCUUCAUAGCCGAUUCAAGAAGAGAAGACAAUAAAUGUGCCUAGAAUCAGUGUGGCCAUAAAAUACCUAGAGGGAACUCUGCUAAGUGUUGGAAACACAACAGUGGGAGAACAGCCAGAACCCUUGACUCGUUCACACAGAAUCGGGAGAGAGGUCAGCAGGGAACGGCUGUGAAGAUGACGAUCACGGUGGGGCCUCAGAGCCGUUCAUCUGUGUAUGAAAUGAUGUUCCUGUGAACCUCGGUGGGAAUAAAUAAGACCCUCUGCAGGGACGUCACGGCACAGUGGGCAGAGUGUCUGCACUUGGUGUGACCCCAUUUCUGCUUCAAGACCUGCAGCUCGCGGCUGUGCACGUUGCUCAACAGUGGACCAUGUCACCGGCGUGGGGAGUGGCAGGGCUUCGGUGUGCUACCUCUGACUCCAGAGGUCCAGGUUUGACCGUUAGGAGUAUCACCCGGCCUCCGAAAGCCCCAAUCCCCCCCGCCUGGCAAACAGGGAAAUAAUAUCUCUUGUACCAGGCGUUCCUGAGAAUCUAGAGAAAGGGUGAGCCCGGGGUUGAGCCAGCCUUGGUCCCUCGGGACACCUGAGUUACCUUCCACUGUCUUAAUCUGAGGACGCUGC